AGCGCUUUUCAAAAGCGCUCUGGUAGGGGUGUUUAAUGAGAGCGCUUUUUGUCAAAAGCGCUGGUAUAGACCAGGCUAUGAGAGCGCUUUUCAGAAGCGCUUUAGUAGCCUUUAUUACUAAAAAUUAAAAACCAAAACACGCGUUACUGUUUCUCAUUUCUCUCUUUCGUUUUCUGCAGAACCCUUCCGUCCACCACUGUUCUUCAUCCACAAACCCUCACUGCACGCGAAACCCUUCCGUCCACCACCAUCGGCAACCACCGUCGGCGUCCCUCCGUCGGCUUCUCCUCCGUCACUCGUUUUAUCCACCGCCGGUCUGACUGGAUUGAUAACUUUGGAUCUCUUUGGAGCUCGUAUCAUUGACUCUGGUACUACAUAUUUAGGAGGGUAACUUGUGUAUAGUGAAAGUUUGAUCGUUUCCCAGCCUAG